rfam:Gossypium raimondii Chr05_contig_530, whole genome shotgun sequence.
UGUUAAAAAAAUUCAUCCAUUUGUACUAUUAAAAACUGACAUUAUUGAUGUAAUAACCAGAUAGUUACAAGUGACGUACUAGGUUACCUCAUUCUAACAUAUACUGACAAUUUUCUAGCAGUAAAAAUGGAUAGAAUUUUUAACA